UCUUAGUCUUCACUGCAACUGUGUGCUGGAGUGGUUGUGGUGAAAAUAAUGCUAUUCUAUCAUGACUAAUGUUGUCUUUAGUUUUGUGUGGGCUUUUCUGGUGGAAUGUGAGGACAACAAGAAGAAUGAAAUAAUUAGAGUUGAUACACAUACCACCUCAUAGCAAACACUAGAAGGAAAAUUCAUGGUGCUAGAAGAGUGUUAUGAGACAACUCCAGAUUAGAGGAAGGUUUACAUGCAGAAGAGAUGCUAGGUUCAAGGGCUGAGUACAUUCACUGGAAAGUUCCCCUACAACUCCAUAUGCUUUGGGUCAUGCUUAGAGGUGUAGAGGUCCACUGUUCCAGCUGGAAGAUGGCAUUUGUGACUGCAACCUGAAAAACAGGCAUUAGGAUUUAUUUCUGAAGCAACACAUCUGCAGCCUAACUAUGCUGUAAACUUUCAUUAAAUGCUUGAUGGAAAUCAAUGCUCAUUUAUAAAGUGAUAUUGCAGCACUACAGUUUGAUAUGACAGAACUAGUCAUGGUAAAUAAAUGAUUCAGGGAAUAUGGCUUUUUUGCUUUU
rnacentral:lncRNA from 1 species